CCUACGGGAGGCAGCAGUGAGGAAUAUUGGUCAAUGGGCGCGACCCUGAACCAGCCAAGUAGCGUGCAGGAUGACUGCCCUACGGGUUGUAAACUUCUUUUAUACAGGAAUAAACUGAGGCACGUGUGCCUUUUUGUAUGUACUUUAUGAAUAAGGAUCGGCUAACUCCGUGCCAGCAGCCGCGGUAAUACGGAGGGUCCGAGCGUUAUCCGGAUUUAUUGGGUUUAAAGGGAGCGUAGAUGGGUUGUUAAGUCAGUUGUGAAAGUCUGCGGCUCAACCGUAAAAUUGCAAUUGAUACUGGCAGGCUUGAGUACAGCUGAGGUAGGCGGAAUUCGUGGUGUAGCGGUGAAAUGCUUAGAUAUCACGAAGAACUCCGAUUGCGAAGGCAGCUUACUAAACUGCCACUGACAUUGAUGCUCGAAAGUGUGGGUAUCAAACAGGAUUAGAUACCCCUGUAGUC
rnacentral:rRNA from 1 species